GGGAGCGUUCUCAUCCACAAAGGAGUCACCUCGUUUAUGGCUGUUGGAGGAGGGGCCUGAGGGUCUGCAGCAGCUGUGAAGGCCGGAGGUGGCAAUUUAUGGCUGUUGGAGGGGGGCCUGAGGGUCUGCUGCAGCCGUGAAGGCUGGAGGCGGGGAGAGUUCCUUCUUCGUCCCCGAGCGUCAGGGCCUUGCCAGACGAUCACAGUCAAUGGCACUGCGAUAGCUCGGGGAAGAGUGGCCCACUCUGGGGGAAAACUUACCUAAAGGCCAAAGAGGAGUGGUUAGACAUAAAUGUCUAAAUCAGAGUCCUACCAGGAGCAAAAAGAUGGGAUGAUCAUCCCUGGUUAAGUUUCCAGAGGGACAGAGAACUACUUAACAGAAUAUUUAACCUAUAGGACAUGGGACCUAUGUGUGAAGCUUAGUAACAGACUGAUGUGUUGAGUACCGAGUUACAAAGUAAGGAACAUCUGAGCUGGCCUCAACUCAGACAUAUGCCACCUGAGCUCUGCACCUCACAGGGUGGCUUUGGGCUCUGCAAGAGCUGAGUGCAACGUUGACUGUCCACAAUCCAGCCAGCGUGGUCCACACCUGCAGAAGUGAUCAGAUGUUAAAGCACUACUGACUGGCACUGAAGUCAAGUCCUGAAAUGCACAAAACGACCACCGCACUCACCUCGUACACCAGGAGUGCGAAAUAACUAAAGACGCAAUAAACUGCAGAAAGAUCACUACCAGUCGUUUAGAAUAACCCUGUUUUCACGCAGCGUCUUCCUUAUUCAUAUAAUCACUUCCUCUGCCACUCAAAUGGUGAAAACUAUAGUUAAUUCAGCGAAAUUUUUGGAUAAAUCAAUUAAAAUAUCUUCGUUGUG